GCAUUAAUGGGGUAGUGGUAACCUGGGUCGUUGCCAUCAUAAUGCUGUGGGGUAGAUAUCGACCCGCCGGGGGUUCGAUUCCCUCUUAAUGCA